UGAACGCUAGCGGCAGGCCUAAUACAUGCAAGUCGAGCGGCAAGUCGAGGAGUAAUCUAAGAACUAGAGCGGCGCACGGGUGCGUAACGCGUAUGCAACCUACCUUAUACUGGGGGAUAGCCCGGAGAAAUCUGGAUUAAUACCCCAUGGCACAUAUUGAUGGCAUCUGAGAUAUGUUAAAGAUUUAUUGGUAUAAGAUGGGCAUGCGUCCUAUUAGCUAGAUGGUAAGGUAACGGCUUACCAUGGCAACGAUAGGUAGGGGUCCUGAGAGGGAGAUCCCCCACACUGGUACUGAGACACGGACCAGACUCCUACGGGAGGCAGCAGUGAGGAAUAUUGGACAAUGGGCGCAAGCCUGAUCCAGCCAUGCCGCGUGCAGGAAGAAGCAUCUAUGGUGUGUAAACUGCUUUUGUACGGGAAGAAACACUCCUUCGUGAAGGAGCUUGACGGUACCGUAAGAAUAAGGAUCGGCUAACUCCGUG
rnacentral:rRNA from 1 species